AGACAUUAUACAAAUUAGUGUGAAUUCAUUCUGAACUUAUACGUGCUUAAGCUUGUGCUAAAUCGCUGAGACGGUGUAUAAAUUAGUGAAUUCUUUCUGAACUUAAACUUGCUUAAGCUUGUACUAAAUCGCUAAGACGGUGUAUAAAUUAGUGAAUUCUUUCUGAACUUAAACUUGCUUAAGCUUGUGCUAAAUCGCUAAGACGUUGUAUAAAUUAGUGAAUUCUUUCUGAACUUAAACUUGCUUAAGCUUGUGCUAAAUCGCUAAGUUAUCACAUUCGAAUUAAUGCCCGCAUUUGAAGUCAAGUUUUUUACAGUUUUAAA